rnacentral:rRNA from 1 species
CCUACGGGAGGCAGCAGUGAGGAAUAUUGGUCAAUGGGCUUACGCCUGAACCAGCCAAGUCGCGUGAGGGAAGACUGCCCUAUGGGUUGUAAACCUCUUUUGUCAGGGAGCAACGCCGGCUACGUGUAGCCGGACUGAGAGUACCUGAAGAAAAAGCAUCGGCUAACUCCGUGCCAGCAGCCGCGGUAAUACGGAGGAUGCGAGCGUUAUCCGGUUUUAUUGGGUUUAAAGGGUGCGUGGGCGGAAUGCCAAGUCAGCGGUAAAAUCGCGGGGCUCAACCUCGCUCCGCCGUUGAUACUGGCGGUCUUGAGGGGGUGAGAGGGAGGCGGAAGGCGGGGUGUAGCGGUGAAAUGCAGAGAGAUCACGCAGAA